UCCCCUAGUAGCGGCGAGCGAAGCGGGAAGAGCUCAAAUUUAUAAUCUGGCACCUUCGGUGUCCGAGUUGUAAUCUCUAGAAGUGUUUUCCGCGUUGGACCGCACACAAGUCUGUUGGAAUACAGCGGCAUAGUGGUGAAACCCCCGUAUAUGGUGCGGACGCCCAGCGCUUUGUGAUACACUUUCAAUGAGUCGAGUUGUUUGGGAAUGCAGCUCAAAUUGGGUGGUAAAUUCCAUCUAAAGCUAAAUAUUGGCGAGAGACCGAUAGCGAACAAGUACCGUGAGGGAAAGAUGAAAAGCACUUUGGAAAGAGAGUUAACAGUACGUGAAAUUGUUGGAAGGGAAACGCUUGAAGUCAGACUUGCUUGCCGGAGCUUGCUUCGGUUUGCAGGCCAGCAUCAGUUUUCCGGGGUGGAUAAUGACGGUUUGAAGGUAGCAGUCUCGGCUGUGUUAUAGCUUUCCGUUGGAUACGCCCUGGGGGACUGAGGAACGCAGCGUGCUUUUUGCGAAAGACUCGUCUUUUUCACGCUUAGGAUGCUGGUGGAAUGGCUUUAAACGACCCGUCUUGAAACACGGACCAAGGAGUCUAACAUGCUCGCGAGUAUUUGGGUGUCAAACCCGGAUGCGCAAUGAAAGUGAAUGUAGGUGGGAACCGCAAGGUGCACCAUCGACCGAUCUGGAUUUUUUAAGAUGGAUUUGAGUAAGAGCGCGUAUGUUGGGACCCGAAAGAUGGUGAACUAUGCCUGAAUAGGGCGAAGCCAGAGGAAACUCUGGUGGAGGCUCGUAGCGGUUCUGACGUGCAAAUCGAUCGUCAAAUUUGGGUAUAGGGGCGAAAGACUAAUCGAACCAUCUAGUAGCUGGUCUGC
rnacentral:rRNA from 1 species